AUACGGCCAUAUCACGUUGAAACACCAAUUCUCGUACGAUCACCGAAGUUAAGCAACGUUGAGUCUAGAUGGGUGACCGUUUGGGAAUACCAGGUGCUGCAAG